GCCCAGACUCCUACGGGAGGCAGCAGUGGGGAAUAUUGCACAAUGGGGGAAACCCUGAUGCAGCGACGCCGCGUGAGUGAAGAAGUAUUUCGGUAUGUAAAGCUCUAUCAGCAGGGAAGAAGAAUGACGGUACCUGAAGAAUAAGCUCCGGCUAACUACGUGCCAGCAGCCGCGGUAAUACGUAGGGAGCAAGCGUUAUCCGGAUUUACUGGGUGUAAAGGGCGUGUAGGCGGGCCUGCAAGUCAGAAGUGAAAUCUGGGGGCUUAACCCCCAAACUGCUUUUGAAACUGUGGGUCUUGAGUGAUGGAGAGGCAGGCGGAAUUCCCAGUGUAGCGGUGAAAUGCGUAGAUAUUAGGAGGAACACCAGUGGCGAAGGCGGCUUACUGGACUGUAACUGACGUUGAGGCUCGAAAGCGUGGGGAGCAAACAGGAUUAGAUACCCCCGUAGU
rnacentral:rRNA from 1 species